UUCGCUAAUAACUGCACCCACAUUAGGGAGAUUUCAACACCAGCCAAACCUUUUUUAUCAUCAUUUAUUAUAGUUGUGUCUAAUUCAUGAAUUUUAUGAUUGCCACAGGAAUUUAAAAGACAAAUAUAUUCUCCUUAUCUAGUUGCUUUUGAGUUUUGCAUCAUAUUGCAUUGCUCAGUCCAGCAGCCUGGAGUUAAGUAUCCGCACCUGAUUUGAAUAAGCAACUAAUGAAAGCUUAAAACUGCAGCGUUUCCUUCUCAGGAAGACUCAGCUACUAAACUAAUGGACAUGCAGCAUGAAAUGAGGCAACCUCUGGAGCCCAUCCAGGAAGAGUCGGAGCAGGAGGAUGGAAGCAUAAAAAGCAACGUGGGUGAAGAAGAGGAGGACAAUUUUGAAACUCCGGAGACAGAGGAGGUAAUGGCAGAAGAUGAGAGUGAAGAAGAAGAAGAAGAAGAAGGUAAUGAUGGGGCUUUGAGUUCCAGGCAACUCUCUCGUUCCCUCGGCCGAAAGAGUUUCUCUCAAACGCAAUCUGCCUUCAAUCACUGGAGCGAAAUGAGAAACAUCACUGCGCCCGGUUCAGCUGAUUUAACAGACGAAGCCUCAUCAUCCUGGUUGCCAGGGCACAGCCACAGGAAAUGGAGGGCGGAGGGCUUUAUGGUCCGAAAGCAACAACACAAACCACUUCGGCAGAAGAAUGUGAGGAGGAGAGGAUCGCAGAGAAAACCGGCGCCUGUGAGUGGUCCCCUCAAAGUGUGUGUGUGUGUGUGUGUGUGUGUGUGUGUGUGUGUGUGUGUGUGUGUGUGUAUAAAGAUUUAUUUGACGUGGUAA
ensembl:lncRNA histone H3.v1-like